AUGGAGUCAAUGGCCGUCGCCACCAACGAUGGGGCAGGCUGGGGUCCCGGUGGGGUCAGGCCUGUCGGCUUUCCAGCAUCGGGCCUAUCUGCGUUGGAGAAAGCUGCUCAUGAACUGGGAACAGCGCAUCAACUGGAUCAUGGGCUUUCACAGGCCCGGGAGCCGCACUGAAGAAGAAAAUCAAACAAAAUCAAAGCAGCAGGACAGUGAUAAACUGAAGUCCCUCAGCGUUCCUUCAGUGUCAAAGCCAGCAGUGCUAGGUGAUUCGGUCAGUACAGGAACAACUGACCAGCAGGGUGGUAUGGCCGAGGUAAAGGGGACCCAGCUGGGAGACAAACUGGACUCUUUCAUUAAACCCCCAAGUGCAGUAAUGAUGUCAGCCCUGGGCUCCAGCAGCGGAACAGAGGGGACAGCGGACACAGUCCACAGGGGUUCUCGUCAUGGCCUAGAGCAGUAUCUUUCCAGAUUCGAAGAAGCAGUGAAGCUAAAGAAACCACUGAUUAGUGAAAAACUCAAUCAAGAGGGUGGAAGUACAACAGAAGAAUUUGACUCUUUUCGAAUAUUUAGAUUGGUGGGAUGUGCUCUUCUUGCUCUUGGAGUCAGAGCUUUUGUUUGCAAAUACUUGUCCAUAUUUGCUCCAUUUCUUACUUUACAACUAGCAUACAUGGGAUUGUACAAAUAGUUUCCCAAGAGUGAAAAGAAGAUAAAGACAACAAUACUAACAGCUGCACUUCUAUUAUCGGGAAUUCCUGCUGAAGUGAUAAAUCGAUCAAUGGACACCUGUGGCAAAAUGGGCAAAGUCUUCACAGAUCUCUGUGUCACUUUUUCACUUUUUAUCUUUUUUCAUGAACUGCUUGAUUAUUGAGGCUCUGAAGUACCAUGAAGCCUGCAGAACUGAGAAGGAGAAGCUUACAAAAAAAAAAAAUUGUCUUCUACAUUGCAAUGCCUCUAAAGGAGGCAAAUUGGUUUACGCCUUCAUGUAAUUCUUUUACUUUAGGGGUUGUAAAACUACUUUAUUAGAAGUAGAAUGGCAGAUACCCUGAUUGAAAAGGGUUGAGUUUGUAUUAGUACUGAAAUGAAGAAUAGGGUACCAAUGUCAUUAAUUGAUUUUUCUUGUUUAAUCAGAACCCCUGUUCCGUACUUUUCCUCUGACUUCUCAGGUUUGUAAUUCUUCUUUUGGGAGCUGAGCUAUUGCUUCUAGGAGAGCAGAUAAAUGUGGGCUCAGCCAGCCCUAAAGACUGCCUUUUGUAUCUGUGUCAUUCUGUCC